rnacentral:rRNA from 1 species
AGAGUUUGAUCCUGGCUCAGGACGAACGCUGGCGGCGUGCUUAACACAUGCAAGUCGAGCGGAAAGGCCCCUUCGGGGGUACUCGAGCGGCGAACGGGUGAGUAACACGUGAGCAACCUGCCCCUGACUCUGGGAUAAGCCUGGGAAACUGGGUCUAAUACCGGAUACGACCCGCCAUCGCAUGGUGUGCGGGUGGAAAGAUUUUAUCGGUUGGGGAUGGGCUCGCGGCCUAUCAGCUUGUUGGUGGGGUGAUGGCCUACCAAGGCGACGACGGGUAGCCGGCCUGAGAGGGUGUCCGGCCACACUGGGACUGAGAUACGGCCCAGACUCCUACGGGAGGCAGCAGUGGGGAAUAUUGCACAAUGGGCGCAAGCCUGAUGCAGCGACGCCGCGUGGGGGAUGACGGCCUUCGGGUUGUAAACCUCUUUCAGUAUCGGCGAAGCUCCGUGGUUUUCUGCGGGGUGACNGUAGGUACAGAAAAAGCACCGGCCAACUACGUGCCAGCAGCCGCGGUAAUAC